UAGCUCCACCCCAACAUCUUAUAACUCCCUCUUGCAGGCUUUGCCAGAUUCACACAAAGAAAUUCAGCUUUACGUGUAGAAACAAGAGAAAAGUCCAAAAGACUAGAAACCAAAAUGGGUAUCAGCCAGUUACUGAAUAAGCCUUCAGGUGGGGAUAAAGAAAUGAAUUCAGGAUAUCAAGUGGUCACUAUGCAGCCGGAAGUUAAUGUGAUCAACACUCCACUGGAUAAACCACUGCCAGAUCACCUGGGUUACUCCAUCUUUACCACACUGUGCUGUUUUUUACCUCUUGGCCUUGCUGCUUUGGUUUACUCCAUCACAACUCAAAAUGCAAACCUGUUCGGACACCGACAAAUGGCAGAGAAAAAUUCCAGAAUUGCACUCAGACUUAACCAUGUCAGUCUUUUUAUUGGCAUUACAAUAUAUUUGUUAGUCAUCAGCUUUAUUAUUUUUGUUGGGUUCAUGUUUUUUUCCGGAAUUUUAGACUAGGGCUUACAUAAGGACUGAAGUGGUCGGAUGUGAUGGUAUACUUCUGUUUUUGGUAUAUCAGUUGUACUUUCAUACAACUGCCAAGGACUAUGUGUGGGUAGUGUGUGAUAUAGAGCCCGCUGUAUUGUUGUUGAUGAACUUUUGGAUAACUGUGAUUUUUUAUGUUUGCAAGAGACUUUUUUUAAUUAAGCAAAACUUGGAAAAAUUGAAUUCUUUUAAUAGGAAUUUUUAUGGAGCUUUUGGGUCCACUACAUUACAGAUGUUUUAUGCCCUAAAACUGUAUGAACCAUUUGCACGCACAUGUUUGUGCAGAUCUCAGACUUAAAUGCCUUUCACAUACUGAAAUUAAAAGUAUUUUUUCCCUUAGGGCAGAAAUGUGUAAUAGUUAAACAUCAUGAGGCAAUUCAUUGAAAUUAUUGACUUUGACAAACUGUGACGUGGUCCAAGCUCCUUUCCCAAAACAGUACUGAUAAAGAAAUGCUCUGUUUAUUUAUUGCCGUUUUUGUUGCAGAUCUAUAAAAAAAGAAACUAAGAGAUCUAAAGAGGUCUAAUAUUUGAUAUUGAUUCCAACAGAGAGGUUAAAUAAUUGAAAAUAUUUGAUAUUUUUUGGUAAAAUUACAGAUGUACAAAAAAAAUUUAAAGCUACAUAACAUCCUGAAAGAGGCACUAAGUGUUGUGCGCAUUAAUAAGUUGGGCCAGCUAGUCACUUUUUGACAAUCAGACUGUAUACCUAUACUGUAUUAUGUAAAACCUAACACAUUAUUUUGGGGCAAUGUUUUAUCAUUGUAUCUGUGUCUGUAUGUUGCAAACGAACAGUAUAUGUACAUUUUCCUUUGACAACCAAUUUGCCAAUAUUUUUAACAGUAUAUCUAUUAUUUUAAUAGAAUAAGAUAUAUGUUUAUGCAUAUAUGUAACUGCAAACAGAGCUGUUUCUAGACAUAGACAAACUAGGUGGUUGUUAUGGAUGUCUUCAGGUCACAGUUUUCUAGUCAUAGUGACAGGAUCAUGGCAGCCCCAUGUUUUGUGUGAGAGCACUGGCUUUGUUUUUCCUUUGCUUUUUGCAGCAUGGGAUGGUGUAUUAUUCUGCAUGAAAGAAAAUUUAUUUCAGAAGACAUGAAUCCUUUCACAUCUAGUGAAAACCUUUUUUAUAGGAACUUUACAUAUCUUCUAGAUGUCCUUUUGGCUCAGGGACUCUAAAGGGACCUAACAUCUUACUUCCCAAUAUUCCAGUCCAAAUCAUUAGUCUGCCAUCUCCCCCUAAUGUUACAGUGUUGUUUGACUAUUCACCAACAAUCCAGAAUAUACUAUACAGUGUAUUAUGGCAUGUCCAUGAAUAAAAUUGUUUGAAAACUUCA